rnacentral:lncRNA from 1 species
GGGGCGGCGUGGCUGCGGGCGGCGGCCCCGCCCGGAGGCCCGGCGCGCGGGCCCGCUCUCUCGGGCGUUUAAGCUAGAGGAGUGUCUCUGGGCCAAAGUCGGGAUGAAACUUGGCACAUGGUGGCGGGGAGGACGCUGACGAGCGCGGCGAUGCCCACCUGCAAGGGCGCCCUCGAGGCGGCCGCACCCCUGACAGCCGGCUGCGGGCUGUGCGCCGCGGAGCCCGAGGCCGCGGAGCGCCUGGGCGAGGCGUGGGCGGGGAGCCGAAGGUGAGGGAGCCGGCAUCCUGGGCUCGGCGGAAGUGCGGCCCUUCAGACUGCGGCGGGGGCGCCCCGGGCCGGCCCCCCGCGGAGGCCGGCUGAGCUCUGACCUCUGACCUUGCAGGUGGCGGUCUUGGAGCUGAAAGUCGGCCUGCGGGACCCGGGGCGCGCGGGGACCGUUUGCUCCUAGGUGACCCAGCGUUGCGGGGUGGGGGGCAGGGGACUGCGGUGGCCGAACUCGGUCUGGGUCCCAGCCCUGCUUGAGGAUGGAAGUCAGAAGAGGAGUUCGGGCCCUGUCCUUACACUCAGGGAAGCUUCUCGUAGUGGAUGGGCUUCGUGACUACAUCGGCCUUCUGUGGAAACCAUAGAACCCUUGGAGCAGCAAGACAUAAAGGGGAAGAGCUCAGACCCAGCAGCCAGGUGACCCAAGCGCCCCUCCUGGCACUGUGGACCCCACGGCACCUGUCUGACUUCUGUGACCCUCAACUUUCUCAUCUGAGGAAUGUUCCCUACCCUAUGGGUCAGUAAGUGCUAGGUAUUAGUGUCAUGGUGGUGUAGGAAACAAAUAGUGUGGUAAUUCCCAGGAUAGAAGUUUGUUCCUGGGUUUGGUGGGCAGACGGAAUCAGGCUCGAGGAAGAGAUGGCCAAGCUGGGCUGUGAAGCAUGAGUGAGACUUAGGUAAACCAGGUGGGAGUGCCAGUUGGGGGAGAGGGGAGGGGGAGGGCUUCCUCCAGAUUAAGAAGGAGCCUCAGACCAAAGCCCCUAAGGCUAGACAACGGGGUGGUACCCACCUGCUUUGUAAACAAAGAUCAGAGUAACCUUGAUAUGACUAGGUGGAGAUGGGAUUUUUUUUUUAUCUUCCCCACUGGUGGAGGAAGGAGAAAGUUUUUAAGCUGAUCACAGAUGGCAUCGGAUUAGCUUUUUGGAAAGAUUAUACCUGUAGUAAUGUGGAAUUGAAAGAAGGGAAGGCUCAGCCACUUGUCCUGGUAGCUUUGUGUCUGCCUUUUGACUCUGAAAGGAAAAGGACUGCUUAACAGAGGCAGGCAUUUUAAUCCAAAUCUGGAAGCUU